UGCCCUACCAUUCUACCAGAUUAAACGUAUGGAAAAGAUGGUUUAAGAGUUAUUGUUGUUGAACACGGCUUCCUGCGCGCGUACUGUUCAGUUCCUGGCUGCUAUAAAUUGUUAGAGAGAUCAAGGCCACCAAAUCACAGCAAGCUUUAGAUGAAAAAAUGGAGUUCAGAUCAGCUUUCUGUGCUGCCCUGCUACUCGUGAUCGUACACUCGCUGCACCUUUCUGCUAAUGCGUCAACCGAACUUUUACCUUGUGUACAUGGGGGAGAAGAAACACGACGAUCCAUCGAUUGUCACUGCUUCACACGAUGAUACACUUGCUUCUGUUCUUGGGAGUUAAGACUAAUCGGGAAAAAUUUUGCGGCAACCACAACAGAGUAUUCACGUUGAAGCUAACAUAAGGUAAUGGACACCAAUCUAUGUUCUGAUGAUGAGCAAGAUCAUAUCAUAUCAGAUGAAGAUGAGUUUGCUGUUGAGGAGGUUGACAGUGAUUCACGUACUCUGGUAGCAGAUAAAACCAAAUUGUUGGAGCCAGCCAAAGGUAUGCUAUUUGAUAGUGAUUACAGUGCCACUUGCUUUUAUAAAAGUUAUGCCCGAAAGAUAGGAUUUUGUGUGAUAAAAAGAGGAUCCAAAAAAAAUUGAGGAUGGCAAGGUGAGAUAUUUCACACUUGCUUGUAGAAGACAAGGUAAGGCAUUGUACACAUCAACGAAUGAAUUCAAGCCUAACCCCUCCACAAGGCAGCAGUGCCCAGCUAAAGUUAACUUCUAUCUUCAUGGUGAGAAAUUCUGCAUUAGCACGCUUACUCUAGACCAUAAUCAUGCUGUAAGUCCUAGCAAAGCAAGACAUCUCAAAUGCCACAAGAAACUUGAUUUGCAAGCUAAGAGAAGGCUAGAGUUGAAUGACCAAGUGGGAAUUCGUAUAAACAAGAAUUUCAGUUCUCUAGUUAUGCAUGCUGGAGGCUAUGAGAAUCUUCAAUUUGGUGAAAAGGAGUGCAGGAAUUAUUUGCAAGAUGUACGAAAGUUUAAGCUUGGUGCUAGAGAUGCGCAUGCAGUUUAUCAGUAUUUCCUACGUAUGCAGUCCAAAGAUCCCAAUUUUUUCUUUCUAUGUCAUGGACGUGGACGAGGACUCUCGACUAAAAAAUGUUCUGUGGAUGGAUGCAAGAAGUAGGGCUACUUAUGAAUCUUUUUCAGAUGUUGUGACAUUUGACACUACGUACUUGACUAACAAGUACCAUAUGCUAUUUGUUCCUUUUGUCGGUGUAAAUCAUCAUGGGGAGUCGGUUCUAUUAGGAUGUGCUCUGCUAUCAAAUGAAGAAACAGAAACUUUUAUUGUAAUUGUUUUUACAAGAUUGUUUUAUAGGGAUUCCAAUCAAAUCACCCGGCACAACCAUCUCACAUUAGUUCUUACAUGGAUCUUCUUCAGGGAAAAGGUGAUCUGACGGAGCUUCUAUCCCAGCAUAUGAAAGAAUGAAAGAGAACGAUUUUUUUCUUGCAUUACUUGUGAUUUCAAUCGACAAACUAAACAACGUUUGCUUGUUUAUUUUUAUUUAAUGUUAGACAGUAUGUUUGUGAUUUUGGAUGUCACUCUACCUGUAUUUAGAAUGUCACUAUAUCUGUAUUAUGUUUAAUCAACUGAUUUUGGCUAUGAAUGUGCAAAUUGAAGUUUUGGUGCCUUGCUUUUCUAACAAGUCUGGUCAAUCAUUUUUUUUUGCUUGCAUGUUAUGGCUUUUUUUCUAGAGAACUUGUAUGCUAUGGCUGUGAGAAUAUAAGUGGUUUCAUAUCCUGAAGGCCUGAACUAAUCUAACAUCUGGAGUGAAUUGCAUUGGGCUGCAUCAUUUUCAAUAGCAACCUAAGGUCCUAAGCUAUAUCGAUAAAUGUUCUUACCAGACUGGCC